UAUCGCAUAAGAAUGAGACACAAAUUUAAUGUAUCAAAUGGAAAUGGUAUGAAUGAAAAUUACUCUGCAUGCAAAUGCGCAGUUACGUUAGAGAAGGAAAGUAGCCGUAGGUCUUAGGUACGUUUUAUUUGCGGUUGCGCAAAAACAAAACAGCUGUUAUUGAUUGUUACUUACAUCGAACGUGUAAAUGGAUUAAUUAAUACGUUCAUCAAUUUUGAGAAGGCAAGGGAUUUAUUGGGUUAUUUUCUGUCGGUCACACGUGACCUUUACAGUUUUUACGUACAUAUUCGGAUUUGCACCUGCUGCGCAAUAUUGUUUAAUAUAAAGCAAGAAAAAGGCCGAUGGAAAUCGAAAGAUGUGCAAGAGGCGCCGGGUCCCCUUAACAAUAAAUUGGAGGUGUACGCUGUCGCUAUAAAAAUAGUUACAGGUUCGUGGGAAUUAAUAAUGGAUAAAGAGUCCAGAGAUAAACCGUUAAUGGAACGAAGCUCAUGUUCUACGACUCUUGUAAGGAACAAGCACAUCGACAAGUUGAUGCUCCUUCGUAAUGGAAAUUGUGUCGAGUUCAAUCGUGAUAUAUCUACUAACACGAUAAGUUAAAUAUGUAAUCUCCAUUGAAUGAGAGAUUUGUAUAUUUACAAGAUGCUAAUACAUGUACCUGUGUAGAAACACGAGCACGUGAGACAUUGUUAGACACGUAUCUCGUUCUGUUUGAUGGGUGCACCGUAGUAUGUAAACGAUGACGUCGCUAACAAAGUUACACAAAGAUUGUCAAAAAAAAUUUGUAUCCUGAUAAUUAAAUGAUUAUCCUAU